rnacentral:rRNA from 1 species
AUUGAACGCUGGCGGCAGGCCUAACACAUGCAAGUCGAGCGGUAGCACAGAGAAGCUUGCUUCUUGGGUGACGAGCGGCGGACGGGUGAGUAACGCGUGGGAAUCUACCUGGUAGUGGGGGACAACAGUCGGAAACGACUGCUAAUACCGCAUACGCCCCUUGGGGGAAAGUGGGGGAUCUUCGGACCUCACGCUAUCAGAAGAGCCCGCGUCGGAUUAGCUGGUUGGUGGGGUAAGAGCCCACCAAGGCGAUGAUCCGUAGCUGGUCUGAGAGGAUGACCAGCCACACUGGGACUGAGACACGGCCCAGACUCCUACGGGAGGCAGCAGUGGGGAAUAUUGGACAAUGGGGGCAACCCUGAUCCAGCCAUGCCGCGUGUGUGAAGAAGGCCUUCGGGUUGUAAAGCACUUUCAGCUGUGAGGAAAGGUGAGUGGUUAAUACCCGCUUACUGUGACGUUAACAGCAGAAGAAGGACCGGCUAACUCCGUGCCAGCAGCCGCGGUAAUACGGAGGGUCCGAGCGUUAAUCGGAAUUACUGGGCGUAAAGCGCGCGUAGGUGGUUCAGUCAGUCAGAUGUGAAAGCCCCGGGCUCAACCUGGGAACUGCACCUGAUACUGCUGAGCUAGAGU